rnacentral:rRNA from 1 species
AUUGAACGCUGGCGGCAGGCUUAACACAUGCAAGUCGAGGGGUAGCAGGGUAGCAAUACCGCUGACGACCGGCGCACGGGUGAGUAACACGUAUCCAACCUACCAUUCACACGGGGAUCGCCUUUCGAAAGAAAGAUUACUACCCGAUAGUAUAGCGAGAGGGCAUCCUUUUGCUAUUAACGAAUUUCGGUGUUUGAUGGGGAUGCGUUCCAUUAGAUGGGUGGUGAGGUAACGGCUCACCAAGUCUUCGAUGGAUAGGGGUUUUGAGAGGAAGGAGACCAACAUUGGAACUGAGACACGGUCCAAACUCCGAGGGGAGGCAGCAGUAAGGAAUAUUAGUCAAUGGACGAGAGUCUGAACCAGCCAAGUAGCUGGAAGAAUGAAGGCCCUAUGGGUCGUAAACUUCUUUUAUAGGGGAAUAAAGUGCGGAACGUGUUCCGCUUUGUAUGUACCCUACGAAUAAGGAUCGGCUAACUCCGUGCCAGCAGCCGCCGUAA